rnacentral:rRNA from 1 species
GAAACGACUGCUAAUACCGCAUAAGCCCACGGUGCCGCAUGGCACAGAGGGAAAAGGAGCAAUCCGCUUUGAGAUGGCCUCGCGUCCGAUUAGCUAGUUGGUGAGGUAACGGCCCACCAAGGCAACGAUCGGUAGCCGGACUGAGAGGUUGAACGGCCACAUUGGGACUGAGACACGGCCCAGACUCCUACGGGAGGCAGCAGUGGGGAAUAUUGCACAAUGGGGGAAACCCUGAUGCAGCGACGCCGCGUGGAGGAAGAAGGUCUUCGGAUUGUAAACUCCUGUUGUUGGGGAAGAUAAUGACGGUACCCAACAAGGAAGUGACGGCUAACUACGUGCCAGCAGCCGCGGUAAAACGUAGGUCACAAGCGUUGUCCGGAAUUACUGGGUGUAAAGGGAGCGCAGGCGGGAAGACAAGUUGGAAGUGAAAUCUAUGGGCUCAACCCAUAAACUGCUUUCAAAACUGUUUUUCUUGAGUAGUGCAGAGGUAGGCGGAAUUCCCGGUGUAGCGGUGGAAUGCGUAGAUAUCGGGAGGAACACCAGUGGCGAAGGCGGCCUACUGGGCACCAACUGACGCUGAGGCUCGAAAGUGUGGGUAGCAAACAGGAUUAGAUACCCUGGUAGUCCACACCGUAAACGAUGAUUGCUAGGUGUUGGAGGAUUGACCCCUUCAGUGCC